UAUAUCACAUGUGUUUCUUGUUUUAGCAUGUGUAAUCAAAAGUAAACUCUUCAUGAAUAAAAGUUUAAAAUAUUUUCUUUCAAAAUAUUCAUAGAAGGAGACUCUGCAAGGAUCUGCUAUCACAGAUAUGGAGGUUGGGAAGAAUUGUCCAGACACCAUUAAAAGCAUGAAUGUGUACCUUUGCCUUGCAGGUCACCUCACUGAAUGUGGUACUCAGAGUAUUGAUGGAAAAUUCAUAGAUUGGUAUUUGAUGCCAGACAGGUAGGAAAGUUUAUAUAGCAUGGCAUAUAGUAUCUAUGUUUUAGAAAUUUUAUUAUGUGUUUAUUAAACUGUAUUUCAUUAUUGUCCUUUUUAAAAUUUGUAUUGUUUCUUCAUUUG
rnacentral:lncRNA from 1 species